rnacentral:rRNA from 1 species
UACGUAGGGGGCAAGCGUUGUCCGGAAUCAUUGGGCGUAAAGCGCGUGUAGGCGGUCCGGUAAGUCCGCUGUGAAAGUCGGGGGCUCAACCCUCGGAUGCCGGUGGAUACUGUCGGGCUUGAGUACGGAAGAGGCGAGUGGAAUUCCUGGUGUAGCGGUGAAAUGCGCAGAUAUCAGGAGGAACACCAAUGGCGAAGGCAGCACUCUGGGACGGUACUGACGCUGAGACGCGAAAGCGUGGGGAGCAAACAGG